rnacentral:lncRNA from 1 species
CGAAGAUCUGCUGCCUAUAUUCCUACAAGUUGUUGUAGAAAGAUUAAACAUAACUGUUACAUAUUUAGAUUCACUAGGUCUGCAAACUGAUUUUUCUUAGCCAUAACUCGUCAAAAUGGUUGUGCGGUUUUGGUUAAUGAUCCAAUGGUCUAAAAAGCCUCUUAGUUUCAAAGAGUUCCUAGAAUUGCCUCAGGAAUUUGACAAGAACCAUAAAAAAAUGUGGUUAGAAUUGUUUCACCAUCAGAAAAUAACAGUUAAUCUAAUUAGAGGAGAUAGUAAGAGUAUAAAACAACACCGGUUUUUGUAUGCGUCUGGAAAACCCAAGCCUAACUUUUUAUUAAUCAAGAUCUUCAAAAGGGUAUAUAUGAGCAUGAUAAGAGACAUCCUCUGCGUAUGAGAAAUCAGAUCAUCUUUCUCCUAAUCAAACGGAAUUAGCGUCUUGAGUUCUUCAAAUCCAUCAUGAAGUGGUUGUGAUUGAUUGUUGGAACCAAAUUCAACGCACAAUCAUUAGUAUACAAAUAAUUGCCAGAAUCCCAUGAACGUUAGAGAAUAAAGGUAUUGUUUAGGAGGUGUGAUUGAAUCCAGAAGGAUUACCUACAUAUCUCCUUGUCGAAGAGGAUAAUCAAAUCAUGUGUAGUUCGAUGUACGACCAUGCAAAGAUGCAUUAAACAUAUAAAGAUGGAUUGAGAUAUAUGUUACCUAGAUGUCUGAGAUGAUUCGGGAAAAAUGAGAUCUAAGAGAUGAGAUCCUCUUCUUUGAGCCCUAGGGGGCAUAUUAAUAGUAUUCAAUGAGAGUUCUUAUAAGGAUGGAGAUUCGUAUUAAAAGUCAAGAGAAUCCCAAUAAGAAAUGUAGGAAGAGAUCAUUUCCUAUUAGGUUAAUGAUUACUUGGGGUGCACCAAUUUUCAUGAUAAUAGGAAUUUCCAAGAUUCUCUCCUAAUUAGAAUAUGAUUAGAGAUACGUUUCUUGAGGGUCAAGCAGGUCAUUCUCAAUAAGGUGGACUCUAUCUAUUGCUUCGGUGUUUAUCGAAUUGACAUGUUCCGAUAAUACCUUUAGAUGAUCCAAUUGGACCAUGUAGGUUAGAAUCGCAUUGAUACUAAAUUGGAUCUAAGCUAUCCUUUCCAAAGCUCCGCUAAUUCUUCCAAGGUCCGGUCUUCGUAGCUUUCCUUGCCUUGGUUCGAUGAUCUAAAAAUCAUGGUCUCAUAUUCAUGAUUUUGUCUUUAUAUUAUAGAAAUAGUACACCAUGAAUGAGUCCGUAGGAUUUAAGGUAUGGAAGCAAUGUCCUAAACGAGGAUAAGGCAGAGAGAUUUGUAUUUCAUAGUCACUUAGUCCUUAAACCAAUUUCCUUGCCGAACAAAUCCAUAUCACAAAAAAAAUUAACAUGAGAAGCAAUGUCCCAAGGGCAUUGUAGUCCCAAUGUCGAUCAUAGAUGACUACAUGUGAUUUAACAUAAAUCCAUCUCACUUAAUCUUGAUCGGGAUCUGAAUGAUAGAACAACCAAAUUGCAUUGUAACUACAAUCAAGGUUUGAAAGAAUAUCAUAAUUAUAUCACAAAUACUUAUAUCUAAUUCGGGUAGUCAUGACAUGUUCCUACGUGUAACUCAUGGCUUGUGGAAUAUAUAUAUUUAUUAAUUAAUUUCAUUACCAGCUUUAGUUAGAACCUAGGAGGUCACACACCUACGAUAGUACUAACGACGUUAAAUGGAUGAUGACAAGAUAAUUAAUUGUUAAUUAUAUUGAGUUAAUUACUUGGGCCGAAUGGACAUGUUUUAAUUAAGAUAAGCAUUGGGCUUUAUUUAAUUCAAGGGGUCCAAGUCACAAGCUCAAGUGGGCUAGUGGAAUGGACUUAACACAAGGAGUAAAGCCCUUGGCGCCAAGCCCAAUGGUAGGGUGCGGCUAGGGGUUAUUAU